UACGAAGGUUGCAAGCGUUACUCGGAAUUACUAGGCGUAAAGGGCAGGUAGGUGGUUUGGUAAGUCUAUUGUGAAAGCUCCCGGCUUAACUGGGAGAGGCCAAUGGAUACUGCCAAGCUUGAGUAUAGGAGAGGUUACUGGAAUUCCCGGUGUAGCGGUGAAAUGCGCAGAUAUCGGGAGGAACACCAAUGGCGAAAGCAGGUAACUGGACUAUUACUGACACUCAACUGCGAAAGCUAGGGGAGCAACAGGG
rnacentral:rRNA from 1 species